AUACCUUUCUCGGCUUUUUGGCUAAGAUCAAGUAUAUCUGUUCUUAUCAGUUUAAUAUCUGAUAUGUGGACCAUCGGUCCACAUGAUAUUAAUUAUAUUUUUUAAAGGAUAAAGCCCACAAAGAUAGCUUGCUAUUUGGGCUUUCACGAGUCGCCCAUACGCUGCACUAUUGCACGGGCCUGGCUCAACCCGC
rnacentral:snRNA from 1 species